rnacentral:rRNA from 1 species
CAGUCGCCGCGGUAAUACGAAGGGUGCAAGCGUUAAUCGGAAUUACUGGGCGUAAAGCGUGCGUAGGCGGUGAGUUAAGUCUGCUGUGAAAUCCCCGGGCUCAACCUGGGAAUGGCAGUGGAUACUGGCUCGCUAGAGUGUGUCAGAGGAUGGUGGAAUUCCCGGUGUAGCGGUGAAAUGCGUAGAGAUCGGGAGGAACAUCAGUGGCGAAGGCGGCCAUCUGGGACAACACUGACGCUGAGGCACGAAAGCGUGGAGAGCAAACAGGAUUAGAUACCCCCGUAGUCCCUGUCUCUUAUAA